UGGGGAAUAUUGCACAAUGGGCGCAAGCCUGAUGCAGCCAUGCCGCGUGUGUGAAGGCCUUCGGGUUGUAAAGCACUUUCAGCGGGGAGGAAGGCGAUAAGGUUAAUAACCUUGUCGAUUGACGUUACCCGCAGAAGAAGCACCGGCUAACUCCGUGCCAGCAGCCGCGGUAAUACGGAGGGUGCAAGCGUUAAUCGGAAUUACUGGGCGUAAAGCGCACGCAGGCGGUCUGUCAAGUCGGAUGUGAAAUCCCCGGGCUCAACCUGGGAACUGCAUUCGAAACUGGCAGGCUGGAGUCUUGUAGAGGGGGGUAGAAUUCCAGGUGUAGCGGUGAAAUGCGUAGAGAUCUGGAGGAAUACCGGUGGCGAAGGCGGCCCCCUGGACAAAGACUGACGCUCAGGUGCGAAAGCGUGGGGAGCAAACAGG
rnacentral:rRNA from 1 species